rnacentral:tRNA from 1 species
GUCUAAGUAGCUUAAUAGAGCGUAACAUUGAAGCUGUUAAGGUGAUUAAAUUUCCUUAGAUA